CGUUAAGGCUCCCAAUUGUUCCUUUGGAACAAGUGCAGGGCAGGUGGCCAUGGCUUGAGAAAAGACUGAGCAGACAGCAAGAUGAACAACAUGGUUUUUUGUCAGAAGCCAAACUGCAGCAAAUUGGAAACAGUGGUGCAUGCGAACAUAGGUCAGAUUGAAAAUCGAUGCCUUCUUACAUCCCUAGUAUUCACUGGCAGACUCGUCCUCCGUGCGCCGUGAACCAAAAAAGUUUGAGAACCACUGGACUACAGGAAAAGGCAAUCACGCAUACUUCAGUGCCCAUAAAAGCUUGGCUGAAAAGAUAAAACAGAAUAAGGAAUUAUGUUGGCUUUGCGCUCUCCGCCCCAUCCCAUUCAUGCCCCUUCUGGUGUGUAACAAGGCACAGCACCAUUUGGGGUAUUAAUUACUUAAAAUCUUGAUGGGCACAGACCACCACCACCACUCAGCAAUGAACACAAAUAUGCAUAAGAUUGCAGUGCUAGCCAUGCUUGCCUUUAAACUAUAACAGUUUAACCUGGUGCCCUCCAGAUGUUUUGGACUACAACUCCCAUCAUCCCUGACCAUUGGCCAUGAUGACUGGGGCUGAAUGGGCACUAUAGUCCAAAUCAUCAGAAAGGCAGCACCACGUUGGCUACCCCUGUGUGAGAACUUAAAGGACUUCUGAAUAAACAUGUCAGGUAUUUAGUAGAGAGUUAAGAAAGUGAGGAAAGCAAAGUUGCUGCCAAACCUUGGACCCCAUGGCUCAGAAAUAUGAAUCGUUUCAGCUAAGAGGAGAGUAUUAUAAGUCUAUAGUUAUUCUUUGGCUCAGAUUUUCAUCUCAAAUGGAGAAAAAAACCACCUGUUUCUCCCUUACUAUGCAGCCAGAUCAGGGGUCCAAAUGGUUUCUGAUUGGCUUGGAUUCAGCAGAGCUAUUUCUCGUUUGGGGCAGGAUAACAGCUCAGCUUAUUCCAAGCAAAUCCAAGUCAAGACUGGAGGAGCUUGCCAAUCAAGAACUGAAGUGCCUGCCAUGUAAACAUUCACAUGGGGAAGAAGGGUCAGCACUCAGAGGGAGAGGAUAUGACACUGUGUAAAAUAUCACUGUUAUUUUAUUCUGCACUUUCAUGGGGCUUCAAGUGUCUCCAACUACACAGAUUUGCAGAAAAGGUCAGCCAAAAUUAUCAGGGAAGUGGAAGAAAGGCAACAACAGUCAGAGGGAAAGGCAACUAAGUGGGGGGAAGGGAAACGAUAAAGUUUACAAAGUAGCGUAGAGAGAAAAUUAUGUUUUUCUCCCACUCACAAUAGCAGAACUUAGGAUCAUUAAUCAAAACUGAUUAGCUGAAGAGAUGAGGACAGACAAAAAUAUAUUAGUAUUGUUUUCAGAUUUCUUUAUACCUUGUUUGAUUUUUAUAUUGUAUAUUGAUGUGAAGGUUGGGGGGUUGUAUUGUAUUUGAUUUCUAUUUUAUACAUGGUUUUUAUAUUCUUUGUAUGAUACUAGACCUCUACUUUGUAGAAUGCUGUGAAAUUCUGCUCUUUUGUAUUUGAUUUUUAUUUUCUGUACAUUGCUUGGAGAUUGUUUUGAAUAUAAAGGAAUUAAGAAAUCUUCUAAAUAAAUAAAAGCCAGUACCCUUUCCUCAUGUACCUCAUCUGAGGGAGGUGUGGUGAGCAGCCACAUAAGAGCAGGCCUUUUCAGUGGCCCCCAUUUGUGGAAUGCUCUCCCCAGGGAGACAAGCCUGGCACCAUCAUUGUCACUUUUUAUGUGUCAAGCAAAGAUGCUUCUAUUCACCCUGGCCUUUGGUAGUUAAGUUAGCCUCUACUGUGGUGCUCAUCUUUUAGCGGGGUAGGGUAGGACUUAUUGUGUUGGUGAAUGAGAAUUUUAUGAAUAUUGUAUUGUACAUAGUUUGCUACAUUUUUCUAAUGGAUUUCAUCUGUUCGUAAUUUAUCUUGUCAAGUAAAUGUGAGUCUUUUUUUGCAUGAAACACUAACUAAUAAAUAUAAAUAAAUACUU